rnacentral:rRNA from 1 species
AGUAACAACCAUUUGAGUCUGGGAUUUCUGAAUGGGGAAACCCACUUACAUAAGUAAGUAUCAUUAACUGAAUACAUAGGUUAAUGAGGCGAACCGGGGGAACUGAAACAUCUAAGUACCCCGAGGAAAAGAAAUCAACCGAGAUUCCGAAAGUAGCGGCGAGCGAAAUUGGACUAGCCCUUAAGCUUUACACGCGUUAGACGAACGGUCUGGAAAGUCCGACGAUACAGGGUGAUAGUCCCGUAGUUGACGACGUGUGUUCAGUGAAAUCGAGUAGGGCGGGACACGUGAUAUCCUGUCUGAAUAUGGGGGGACCAUCCUCCAAGGCUAAAUACUACUGACUGACCGAUAGUGAACCAGUACCGUGAGGGAAAGGCGAAAAGAACCCCUGUGAGGGGAGUGAAAUAGAACCUGAAACCGUGUACGUACAAGCAGUAGGAGCA